ACGGCCAUAUAGCGUUGAAAUACCGGUUCCCGUAUGAUCACCAACGUUAAGCAAUAUCGAAAUUUGUCAGUAUCUAGAUGGGUGACCGUUUUGGAAUACCAGGUGUUGUAAG